UUCCUUUCUACAGUUCCUUGGCACCUGGUGGCUCCAAAUUCUGCAGGAAUCCGGCACCACCUCCAGGGAUUGAGAUUAUACACAACUAUGGCAUGGAAGAGCGUGAAUGAAGAGGAUCCAUCAUCCUCUGAAAUAAAUGAAGAUUGGAGGUCCACAAAUCAUGAUAGGAGGCGAGUUCUGUUCUAGUUUGUGGUCUGUGGUUUUCAAUUUAAGAUUUUUCUUUAGAAAGAGAUGUUGAUGAUCAUUCUUGUAUUUGAGUAGUUGUGACUCCCAAAAUUGGACGUGGUUAAAUUCUUGUUGGAUAAUCACUGCCUGUUUCUUUCCAUGUUUGGAAAACUCACCGAAGCUUGCUGUCUGUAACUUUCAACCAGGACUCUUUCCUUGAAAUCUGGAUGACAGAUGUUUAUAACAUGUGUUUUGCAAUAA